GAUGAACGCUGGCGGCGUGCCUAAUACAUGCAAGUCGAGCGAACGGACGAGAAGCUUGCUUCUCUGAUGUUAGCGGCGGACGGGUGAGUAACACGUGGAUAACCUACCUAUAAGACUGGGAUAACUUCGGGAAACCGGAGCUAAUACCGGAUAAUAUUUUGAACCGCAUGGUUCAAAAGUGAAAGACGGUCUUGCUGUCACUUAUAGAUGGAUCCGCGCUGCAUUAGCUAGUUGGUAAGGUAACGGCUUACCAAGGCAACGAUGCAUAGCCGACCUGAGAGGGUGAUCGGCCACACUGGAACUGAGACACGGUCCAGACUCCUACGGGAGGCAGCAGUAGGGAAUCUUCCGCAAUGGGCGAAAGCCUGACGGAGCAACGCCGCGUGAGUGAUGAAGGUCUUCGGAUCGUAAAACUCUGUUAGUAGGGAAGAACAUAUGUGUAAGUAACUGUGCACAUCUUGACGGUACCUAAUCAGAAAGCCACGGCUAACUACGUGCCAGCAGCCGCGGUAAUACGUAGGUGGCAAGCGUUAUCCGGAAUUAUUGGGCGUAAAGCGCGCGUAGGCGGUUUUUUAAGUCUGAUGUGAAAGCCCACGGCUCAACCGUGGAGGGUCAUUGGAAACUGGAAAACUUGAGUGCAGAAGAGGAAAGUGGAAUUCCAUGUGUAGCGGUGAAAUGCGCAGAGAUAUGGAGGAACACCAGUGGCGAAGGCGACUUUCUGGUCUGUAACUGACGCUGAUGUGCGAAAGCGUGGGGAUCAAACAGGAUUAGAUACCCUGGUAGUCCACGCCGUAAACGAUGAGUGCUAAGUGUUAGGGGGUUUCCGCCCCUUAGUGCUGCAGCUAACGCAUUAAGCACUCCGCCUGGGGAGUACGACCGCAAGGUUGAAACUCAAAGGAAUUGACGGGGACCCGCACAAGCGGUGGAGCAUGUGGUUUAAUUCGAAGCAACGCGAAGAACCUUACCAAAUCUUGACAUCCUUUGACAACUCUAGAGAUAGAGCCUUCCCCUUCGGGGGACAAGGUGACAGGUGGUGCAUGGUUGUCGUCAGCUCGUGUCGUGAGAUGUUGGGUUAAGUCCCGCAACGAGCGCAACCCUUAAGCUUAGUUGCCAUCAUUAAGUUGGGCACUCUAAGUUGACUGCCGGUGACAAACCGGAGGAAGGUGGGGAUGACGUCAAAUCAUCAUGCCCCUUAUGAUUUGGGCUACACACGUGCUACAAUGGACAAUACAAAGGGCAGCGAAACCGCGAGGUCAAGCAAAUCCCAUAAAGUUGUUCUCAGUUCGGAUUGUAGUCUGCAACUCGACUACAUGAAGCUGGAAUCGCUAGUAAUCGUAGAUCAGCAUGCUACGGUGAAUACGUUCCCGGGUCU
rnacentral:rRNA from 1 species